GUUGACCUCGGAUCAGGUAGGAAUACCCGCUGAACUUAAGCAUAUCAAUAAGCGGAGGAAAAGAAACCAACAGGGAUUGCCCUAGUAACGGCGAGUGAAGCGGCAACAGCUCAAAUUUGAAAUCUGGCCCCCCCGGGGGUCCGAGUUGUAAUUUGCAGAGGAUGUCUUCUGGCGCGGUGCCUUCCGAGUUCCCUGGAACGGGACGCCACAGAGGGUGAGAGCCCCGUAAUGGUCGGAUACCAAGCCUGUGUGAAGCUCCUUCGACGAGUCGAGUAGUUUGGGAAUGCUGCUCUAAAUGGGAGGUAAAUCUCUUCUAAAGCUAAAUACUGGCCAGAGACCGAUAGCGCACAAGUAGAGUGAUCGAAAGAUGAAAAGCACCUUGAAAAGGGGGUUAAACAGUACGUGAAAUUGUUGAAAGGGAAGCGCUCAUGACCAGACUUGCGCCGGGCGGCUCAGCAGGGGUUCCGCCCCUGUGUACUCCGUCCCGGUUCAGGCCAGCAUCGGUUCUCGCUGGGGGAAAAGAACGGCGGGAACGUGGCCCUCCCUCGGGGGGGUGUUAUAGCCCGUCGUCCGAUACCCUGGCGGGGUCCGAGGUUCGCGCAUUCGCAAGGAUGCUGGCGUAAUGGUUAUCAGUGACCCGUCUUGAAACACGGACCAAGGAGUCGUCCUUUAGAGCGAGCGUCUGGGUGUUAAAACCCGCACGCGUAAUGAAAGUGAAAUUAGGUGAGAGCCCUUACGGGCGCAUCAUCGACCGAUCCUGAUGUUCUCGGACGGAUUUGAGUAAGAGUUCUAACGGACGGACCCGAAAGACAGUGAACUAUGCUUGUAUAGGGUGAAGCCAGAGGAAACUCUGGUGGAGGCUCGCAGCGGUUCUGACGUGCAAAUCGAUCGUCAAAUAUGAGCAUGGGGGCGAAAGACUAAUCGAAC
rnacentral:rRNA from 1 species